GUGAAUCAUCGAAUCUUUGAACGCACAUUGCGCUCCUGGGUAUUCCUGGGAGCACGCCUGUUUGAGAAUCGAUAAAACUCUCUCAACCUAACUUUGGGGGUAAAUGCUCUCUCAAGGUGAAUGUUGAUGGAUGUGGGUCUUAUUUGAACUGUUUGUUUCUCAGGAGACAUCCGGAACAAUGACCUUAAAUCGAAUGUCCACAGCCGUUCUUUGCAACAAAGAAUUAAAAAUCCGGCCUGGGUGCUAGAAUGGUUUUAACAUCAUGCUUUCGCUCUAGUGUUGGGAUCUUUGGGGCUCAAA
rnacentral:misc_RNA from 1 species